GAUGAACGCUGGCGGCGUGCUUAACACAUGCAAGUCGAACGAUGAAGCCCAGCUUGCUGGGUGGAUUAGUGGCGAACGGGUGAGUAACACGUGAGUGACCUGCCCUUAACUCUGGGAUAAGCCUGGGAAACUGGGUCUAAUACCGGAUAGGAGCGUCCACCGCAUGGUGGGUGUUGGAAAGAUUUAUCGGUUUUGGAUGGACUCGCGGCCUAUCAGCUUGUUGGUGAGGUAAUGGCUCACCAAGGCGACGACGGGUAGCCGGCCUGAGAGGGUGACCGGCCACACUGGGACUGAGACACGGCCCAGACUCCUACGGGAGGCAGCAGUGGGGAAUAUUGCGCAAUGGGCGAAAGCCUGAUGCAGCGACGCCGCGUGAGGGAUGACGGCCUUCGGGUUGUAAACCUCUUUCAGUAGGGAAGAAGCGAAAGUGACGGUACCUGCAGAAGAAGCACCGGCUAACUACGUG
rnacentral:rRNA from 1 species